GAUGAACGCUGGCGGCGUGCCUAAUACAUGCAAGUCGAACGAGGUGCUUUUGUAGCAAUACGAGAGUAUCCUAGUGGCGAACGGGUGAGUAACGCGUUGGUGACCUGCCCCAAAGUGUGGGAUAACAGACCGAAAGGUUUGCUAAUACCGCAUGUGGUCUUGAGGAUUAGAUGCCUCACUUCGAAAGGAGUAAUCCGCUUUGGGAGGGACCUGCGUCCCAUCAGCUAGUUGGUAGGGUAACGGCUUACCAAGGCUUCGACGGGUAGGGGGCCUGAGAGGGUGGCCCCCCACAAUGGAACUGAAACACGGUCCAUACACCUACGGGUGGCUG
rnacentral:rRNA from 1 species